rnacentral:rRNA from 1 species
UACGAAGGGGGCUAGCGUUGUUCGGAAUCACUGGGCGUAAAGGGCGCGUAGGCGGCCGAUCAAGUCGGGGGUGAAAGCCUGUGGCUCAACCACAGAAUUGCCUUCGAUACUGUUUGGCUUGAGACCGGAAGAGGUGAGUGGAACUGCGAGUGUAGAGGUGAAAUUCGUAGAUAUUCGCAAGAACACCAGUGGCGAAGGCGGCUCACUGGUCCGGUUCUGACGCUGAGGCGCGAAAGCGUGGGGAGCAAACAGG